rnacentral:rRNA from 1 species
GACGAACGCUGGCGGCGUGCUUAACACAUGCAAGUCGAACGAUGAAGCCCCUUCGGGGGUGGAUUAGUGGCGAACGGGUGAGUAACACGUGGGCAACCUGCCCUCAGCUCUGGGAUAACCCCGGGAAACCGGGGCUAAUACCGGAUACGACCACUUUGGACAUCCAACGGUGGUGGAAAGUUCCGGCGGCUGAGGAUGGGCCCGCGGCCUAUCAGCUUGUUGGUGGGGUAAUGGCCCACCAAGGCGACGACGGGUAGCCGGCCUGAGAGGGCGACCG